GAAGUGGGCUGGGAGAGAGCUCUGUUCCCUUUGAGAUGAGUUAUUAAUUCUUAGGAGCCAGCCAUUUAUUCCUUAAUGCAGUGGCAGUUACCUAAUGGUGUCCUCAGUUGUGGGCUUCUAUAGCUCUCCACUCUUCCGGAGCCUGCGGCCCAGAUGGCACGACACCGCCAUGACGCAGAUAAUUGGGAACUGUGUCUGUCUCCUGGUCCUAAGCUCAGCACUUCCUGUCUUCUCUCGAACCCUGGGGCUCACUCGCUUUGACCUGCUGGGUGACUUUGGACGCUUCAACUGGCUGGGCAAUUUCUACAUUGUGUUCCUCUACAACGCAGCCUUUGCAGGCCUCACCACACUCUGUCUGGUGAAGACCUUCACUGCAGCUGUGCGGGCAGAGCUGAUCCGGGCCUUUGGGCUGGACAGACUGCCGCUGCCCGUCUCCGGUUUCCCCCAGGCAUCUAGGAAGACCCAGCACCAGU
rnacentral:sRNA from 1 species